GGGCGUAAAGAGCUCGUAGGCGGUUUGUCGCGUCUGCUGUGAAAUCCCGAGGCUCAACCUCGGGCCUGCAGUGGGUACGGGCAAACUAGAGUGUGGUAGGGGAGAUUGGAACUCCUGGUGUAGCGGUGGAAUGCGCAGAUAUCAGGAAGAACACCGAUGGCGAAGGCAGAUCUCUGGGCCAUUACUGACGCUGAGGAGCGAAAGCGUGGGGAGCGAACAGGAUUAGAUACCCUGGUAGUCCACGCCGUAAACGUUGGGAACUAGAUGUAGGGUCCAUUCCACGGAUUCUGUGUCGCGGCUAACGCAUUAAGUUCCCCGCCUGGGGAGUACGGCCGCAAGGCUAAAACUCAAAGGAAUUGACGGGGGCCCGCACAAGCGGCGGAGCAUGCGGAUUAAUUCGAUGCAACGCGAAGAACCUUACCAAGGCUUGACAUAUACCGGAAAAGCGUAGAAAUACGCUCCCCGCAAGGUCGGUAUACAGGUGGUGCAUGGUUGUCGUCAGCUCGUGUCGUGAGAUGUUGGGUUAAGUCCCGCAACGAGCGCAACCCUCGUCCUAUGUUGCCAGCACGUAAUGGUGGGAACUCAUGGGAGACUGCCGGGGUCAACUCGGAGGAAGGUAAU
rnacentral:rRNA from 1 species